GAUGAACGCUGGCGGCGUGCCUAAUACAUGCAAGUCGAGCGAACGGACGAGAAGCUUGCUUUUCUGAUGUUAGCGGCGGACGGGUGAGUAACACGUGGAUAACCUACCUAUAAGACAGGGAUAACUUCGGGAAACCGGAGCUAAUACCGGAUAAUAUUUUGAACCGCAUGGUUCAAAAGUGAAAGACGGUCUUGCUGUCACUUAUAGAUGGAUCCGCGCUGCAUUAGCUAGUUGGUAAGGUAACGGCUUACCAAGGCAACGAUGCAUAGCCGACCUGAGAGGGUGAUCGGCCACACUGGAACUGAGACACGGUCCAGACUCCUACGGGAGGCAGCAGUAGGGAAUCUUCCGCAAUGGGCGAAAGCCUGACGGAGCAACGCCGCGUGAGUGAUGAAGGUCUUCGGAUCGUAAAACUCUGUUAUUAGGGAAGAACAUAUGUGUAAGUAACUGUGCACAUCUUGACGGUACCUAAUCAGAAAGCCACGGCUAACUACGUG
rnacentral:rRNA from 1 species